UCCAGAGGUGGCAAGCGUUGUUGGGAAUUACUGGGAGUAAAGGGCGCGUAGGCGGCCUUCUAAGUCAGACGUGAAAUCCCCCGGCUUAACCUGGGAACUGCGUCUGAUACUGGGAGGCUUGAGUAUGGGAGAGGGAUGUAGAAUUCCAGGUGUAGCGGUGAAAUGCGUAGAUAUCUGGAGGAAUACCGGUGGCGAAGGCGGCAUCCUGGACCAUUACUGACGCUGAGGCGCGAAAGCUAGGGGAGCAAACGGG
rnacentral:rRNA from 1 species